UACGUAGGGUGCGAGCGUUUAAUCGGAAUUACUGGGCGUAAAGCGUGCGCAGGCGGUUUUGUAAGACAGGCGUGAAAUCCCCGAGCUCAACUUGGGAAUUGCGCUUGUGACUGCAAGGCUAGAGUGUGUCAGAGGGGGGUAGAAUUCCACGUGUAGCAGUGAAAUGCGUAGAGAUGUGGAGGAAUACCGAUGGCGAAGGCAGCCCCCUGGGACAUGACUGACGCUCAUGCACGAAAGCGUGGGGAGCAAACAGG
rnacentral:rRNA from 1 species